UACGAAGGGGGCUAGCGUUGUUCGGAUUUACUGGGCGUAAAGCGCACGUAGGCGGAUUCUUAAGUCAGGGGUGAAAUCCCGAGGCUCAACCUCGGAACUGCCUUUGAUACUGGGGAUCUCGAGUUCGGGAGAGGUGAGUGGAAUUGCGAGUGUAGAGGUGAAAUUCGUAGAUAUUCGCAAGAACACCAGUGGCGAAGGCGGCUCACUGGCCCGAUACUGACGCUGAGGUGCGAAAGCGUGGGAGCAACA
rnacentral:rRNA from 1 species